rnacentral:lncRNA from 10 species
AUUCUCCCAUUGAGAACAUUAAGAGAUGGAAACUACUUCCUACUCCUUGAAUAUGGACUGCUCUUGUAGCUUGCUUUGACCCAUGCAUUCCAGUGGAAGUGAUGGUGUGCACUUUUGCUGUCAGAAUCCUGCACCAUGCAGAAAAGCCUAGGUGAACCUGCUGGAGGAUGAGAGACAAUGUGGAUGAGAGCCAAGGCAUCCCAGCCAACAGCCAGAAGUAGUGUUGCCUAGCUGACCCACAGCUAACUGCAGAUCAAUAAGGGAGCCCAGUUCAGACCAGAAGAAACAUCCAACUGAGCCCAGCUUAAAUUGCUGACUUGCAGAUUUUCUGCGAAAUAAACAGUUGUUUUAAGCUACUGUAUGUUGAGAUCUGCAGACGAAGGUCCAAAGGAAGAAGAUUUUGUUGAAGACUGAAAAGAGAAAUAUACUUGGUGGACAGAGAUAACUCCUUUCAGCACAGAGGUCAGAUGACAAGGCUGCAGCAUGAAGAAGAUGCCAUAUUGUGGAAUUGGGUGUCAAGGAGAAGACAUUCGAAGGUGCAUGAACAGAGUGAAGGUGGUGCAAGCAAGUGCAGAGGAGGUGGGGAGACUGGAGUGCUGGGAAAAGGGUCAGCAGAAGCUAGCAAACAUGAAAGACACAACACAAAACAAGCAGUUGUGCAAAUUAGGAUGAUAAGGGGGGAGUGGUCAAAGGUGUGUUUCUCAUGGCUCAACCAGUGCAAACUCAGUCUUAUGACCCUACAUGACUGACUGCACCUGGCCUCUGCAUCCCUUCAGCCUCUUCCCCAAAAGGACUCCUCCUUAUUGCCAGCCACACAAGCCUUCCUUCAUUUCCUCUAACAGGCCAGACUUGUUCCUGGCUCCCGGUCUUGGCAUUCACUGUUUUUUCUGCCAUAGCUGGCUCCUUCCCAAACAUGGAAUCUCAGCCCAAACAAUAUCUCCUCUGAGACACCAGCCUUGAUCACCUUUAUACAAUACAGAUCUGCUCCUGCCCAUCACUUUCUAUCUCAUGACCCUACAAUGUGCCCCUUCGUGAUAGCUCACACCAGCUAAAACCAUCUUGUUUGUGGAUUGCUCACUUGCCCCCUGCCUGUCUCUAGCUCUAGGAGGUCGGCUCCCUGUCACUGUCUGGUCUACUGUGUCGUACCACCCAUGCCCAGCACCUAGCCUUGCACAUUAUAGGACUUAAUGCAAACUUCUUGACUGAAAGAAAAAUGAAGAAACUCAGCCUUGGGAGAGAAAACAACCAUUAAAUGAUUAUUUAAUAAAAUAGAGUAUUAAUCUAUUUUAUAUUAAUU